CCUACGGGUGGCUGCAGUAAGGAAUAUUGGUCAAUGGACGCAAGUCUGAACCAGCCAUGCCGCGUGAAGGAUGAAGGCCCUCCGGGUUGUAAACUUCUUUUAUAGGGGACGAAAAAAGGGAAUUCUUUCCCACUUGACGGUACCCUAGGAAUAAGCACCGGCUAACUCCGUGCCAGCAGCCGCGGUAAUACGGAGGGUGCAAGCGUUAUCCGGAUUCACUGGGUUUAAAGGGUGCGUAGGUGGGUUUGUAAGUCAGCGGUGAAAUCUCUCUGCUU
rnacentral:rRNA from 1 species